rnacentral:rRNA from 1 species
UUGACCUCGGAUCAGGUAGGGAUACCCGCUGAACUUAAGCAUAUCAAUAAGCGGAGGAAAAGAAACCAACAGGGAUUGCCCUAGUAACGGCGAGUGAAGCGGCAACAGCUCAAAUUUGAAAU